rnacentral:tRNA from 1 species
GCCUUCGUGGUGUAGUGGAAAGCACGCUCGGCGCGUAUUCGAGAGGUCCGUGGUUCGAGUCCCGGCGAGGGCA